UUUGGUGAAUGGAGGGAAACGUGGGUCAACGAAGGAGUAUACCCCACUUCGCUACCAGGGUCGUUCGAAGGACCCUCUUAUUCCACGAUCACUACGCUAGUGAGUCGUGCCGGUGAUUUCUUCUGUUCACUGCAUGCGCGUGACAAGGAGAUCGGAAAAUGGGCCAUCAAGGCUCCGAAAACCAAAGAAAUGGCUGAUAAGCUCAUUGAACACACUGAAGAACUGGUUGAAGGCAAGCUCGUCCCAAUUGUAGAAAAAGACCCUUUCACCUCUGCUUUGGGAAAUCCCUACCAUCCAGGACGGGUAGUAGGUGCAGGAGGAUCAUUGCUAGGGUGGGAAAAGGUGAUGGGUCCAGAGUAUACCAAAUCAUGAAGAUCUCGAGCAAGUGUGAACUCACCUCAUGACUUGGUUUCCACGGUGGCAUCGAUUAAGGAACAAGUCCGCAACGAGCUCGUAAGUGAAUUUAACGCUUGGGCGAAGCAAAUGAACCUACCGAGCUUGCCUUUCCCCUCGAAUACACCCGUCGACUCAUGUAGUCACCCAAAAGGACAAGGGGAAGAUGAUAUACAUGGAGACGAUGAUGCAAAUGAGGGUGGUACGCCUACACAUGCGGACUCGAGGGAGCUCGAUAAUCCAGCACCUCAUCAUUUUCCAGAUUUACAGGUGAUUUUGUUUAGUUCUAUCUUAGUGAAUAUGGGCACAUUAUCAAUCUUAGUGAAUAUGGGCACAUUAUCAAUUGUGUAGGAAACGACCCCUUGUGAUAUGUUUGGUUCUAAUAACUGAUCUUUCAAAUUGGUGU